CAAGAUAAAGCUUAAAUAGUAAAGCAUCUCACUUACAUUGAGAAGUUCUUUGUGCAAAUCAAUGUGUCUUGA
rnacentral:tRNA from 1 species